CCAGAGCUGGUGCGGAACAUCUGUCGCUGGGUUAGGCAAGCUGUUCGGGUUCCUUUUUUUGCCAAAUUGACCCCAAAUGUCACUGAUAUCGUAAGCAUUGCAAGAGCUGCGAAAGAAGGUAAGAACUGGACUUGCCUCAAUUGCCUAGUUAUGUAAGUAGGCACUUGAGUGAUGUAGCCAUAUGAAAGUACAUCUUUAUUCACAAAUAUAUGUGUAUAUCUUUGUUUGGAGUUUAAGAAAAGUAUUCAGUUGAGCAUUUGAUCUCAUAAAUGCAGUAGAUUCACACCUAGAUGCAAGCUAGUAAACGGACUCCAAACUUUAGCCUGGGAAAACAAGAAUAUUUCUAAUUUUCCCUGAUAAACACCUGUUUCAUACACAGAGUUAUGAAACAAAACCACAGUCACAGUAACGACUCCAAAAUAAAUGAUUCAUAAUGUAACAAUUCAGCGACAGCACUUGAACCUUUAAUGAAGUAAAAAAAAAAAAAGAUACCAGCUUGCAAGUGUGAAAUUUCUUAGGAGUUCCCUUUAUAUUUGAUAGGGCCUAAUACACUGCCUUAAACCUAUGCUUAAUAAAUAUCUAUCACAUAAGUAAAUCAUAUAUGCUCGUGUUCUCUCCGAUGGAAAUUGCAUCCUGAUUUGCAAAGACGUUGUAAAUUACCUGGAAAAUAAUACUGAAUACAAACAUUGGGCAUUCACAAAUCUGUAUAAUAAUUGGAAAAAUGAAGUGGUGGUAAUUAAAAAUUUUUUAUGUCUAGCAUUUUAAGCAUAAUUGUAGGAGUGAAAUUGGUGAAGACAUUUGAGGUGGAGAAAUAUUUUCAAGAAAAUGUAGAGUGUGCAUUUUCCUAGGUUGUGGGGUUUGAAUGGGUUUUAACCAUUUUCUCUCUAGGAACUACAGGUAAAUGUUGAUGUGUUUUUCCUAGGUGGUGCAGAUGGUGUUACAGCCACCAACACUGUCUCAGGUCUGAUGGAAUUAAAAGCCGAUGGCACCCCCUGGCCUGCAGUGGGCAUUGGGAAGCGCACUACAUAUGGAGGAGUGUCUGCCUACAGAGCCAGCUCAUCUGUGGUCAUCCCUGGCAGCUAUCGAAGGCCAUGAUCAACCAUGAGCCGU
rnacentral:lncRNA from 1 species